rnacentral:rRNA from 1 species
AGCGAACGCUGGCGGCAGGCUUAACACAUGCAAGUCGAACCCGUGCAGCAUUGCACGCGUGGCGCACAGGUGAGUAACGCGUGGAUAUCUGCCUUUUGGUUCGGAAUAACCCCGGGAAACUGGGGCUAAUACCGGAUGGUUCCUACGGGAUAAAGAUUUAUCGCCAAAAGAUGAGUCCGCGUCCGAUUAGCUAGUUGGUGAGGUAAUGGCUCACCAAGGCGACGAUCGGUAGCUGGUCUGAGAGGACGAUCAGCCACACUGGGACUGAGACACGGCCCAGACUCCUACGGGAGGCAGCAGUGGGGAAUAUUGGACAAUGGGGGCAACCCUGAUCCAGCCAUGCCGCGUGAGUGAUGAAGGCCUUCGGGUUGUAAAGCUCUUUUGGCGGGGACGAUGAUGACGGUACCCGCAGAAUAAGCCCCGGCUAACUUCGUG